UACAGCGACUGGGUUCAGUAUGCAGAGGCAAUUCUGCGGAAAGAGGGUUUGUUUGAAGUGAUUACAGAAACCCCCCCAGUUCCAGUUACAGAUGCAUGGGAAGCUAAGGAUUCCAAAGCAAGGUGAACUCUUACAUUGAUAGUAUCCCCAGAAGAGCUCUGUCUAUUGCGUGAUAAGACCUCAGCCAGAGAAAUUUGGGACGCUCUGAGAGAGGCUCACUUAAGGACAGAAGCUGGAUCAACUAUGUUUUACUUUAACAAGCUGCAUAAUAUGGCUCUUGCUGAAGGUGGAGAUGUGCGUUUACAUUUGAUGGAGAUGCAAAAUCUGAGACAUGAGCUGCAACAGAGAGGACUCAACUUUCCAGAGGCUGUGUAUUCUUUCAUGAUACUACAAUCUUUGGGUUCAGGUUGGGAGUCUGUUGCAACCCAGAUUGCUGUGCAACCAACUGCUCAGCUGACAGUGGACUUUGUUACUGCCGUGAUUUUAAAUGAAGCAGAUCGCCGGGGUGCUAGCUGCAUGGGCAAGGAGA